rnacentral:rRNA from 1 species
GCUGGCGGCAGGCUUAACACAUGCAAGUCGAGCGCGAACGGUCCUUCGGGACUUAUUAGAGCGGCGGACGGGUGAGUAAUGCAUAGGAAUCUGCCCAGUAGUGGGGGAUAGCCCGGGGAAACCCGGAUUAAUACCGCAUACGUCCUACGGGAGAAAGCAGGGGAUCUUCGGACCUUGCGCUAUUGGAUGAGCCUAUGUCGGAUUAGCUUGUUGGUGGGGUAACGGCCCACCAAGGCGACGAUCCGUAGCUGGUCUGAGAGGAUGAUCAGCCACACUGGGACUGAGACACGGCCCAGACUCCUACGGGAGGCAGCAGUGGGGAAUAUUGCACAAUGGGGGAAACCCUGAUGCAGCCAUGCCGCGUGUGUGAAGAAGGCCUUCGGGUUGUAAAGCACUUUCAGUAGGGAGGAAGGCCUGUAAGUUAAUACCUUGCAGGAUUGACGUUACCUACAGAAGAAGCACCGGCUAACUCCGUGCCAGCAGC